AGAAUCUUCCGCAAUGGGCGCAAGCCUGACGGAGCGACGCCGCGUGGAGGACGAAGGCCUUCGGGUUGUAAACUCCUGUCACGGGUGAUGAAUGUCGUGGUGUGAACAGCGCCACGAUUGACGUAGGCCCGAGCGGAAGCACUGGCUAACUCUCUGCCCGCAUCCGCGGUAAUACAGAGAGUGCAAACGUUGUUCGGAAUUACUGGGCUUAAAGCGCACGUAGGCGGCGCCGCAAGUGUGGGGUGAAAGCCCACGGCUUACCCGUGGAAUUGCCUGGCAGACUGCGGUGCUCGAGGAUGGUAGGGGAGAGCGGAACUCCUGGUGGAGCGGUGAAAUGCGUAGAUAUCAGGAGGAACACCGGUGGCGAAGGCGGCUCUCUGGUCCAUUUCUGACGCUGAGGUGCGAAAGCUAGGGGAGCAAAC
rnacentral:rRNA from 1 species